rnacentral:misc_RNA from 1 species
AACUUUUGGCAACGGCUCUCUUGGCUCUCGCAUCGAUGAAGAACGCAGCGAAAUGCGAUAAGUAAUGUGAAUUGCAGAUUUUCAGUGAAUCAUCGAAUCUUUGAACGCACCUUGCGCCCUCUGGCUAUUCCAGAGGACAUGCCUGUUUGAGUAUCAUGAACACCUCAAAUCUUGCGGUUUUGCCGUGAUGAGAUUGGACUUUGGGGGUCUUGCUGGCCUGUGGUCAGCUCCUCUCAAAUGAAUCAGCUUGCCAGUGUUUGGUGGCGUCACGGGUGUGAUAACUAUCUACGCUUGCGGCUUCCACCAGGUAACCUUCAGUGAUGGAGGUUCGCUGGAGCUCAUAAACGUCUCUCCUCAGCGAGGACAGCUUCUUGAACGUUUGAUCUCAAAUCAGGUAGGGCUACCCGCUGAACUUAAGCAUAUCAAUAAGCGGAGGCU